rnacentral:rRNA from 1 species
UACGGGGGGAGCAAGCGUUGUUCGGAUUUACUGGGCGUAAAGGGCGCGUAGGCGGCGCUGCAAGUCGACUGUGAAAUCUCCGGGCUUAACCCGGAAAGGUCAGCCGAUACUGCGGGGCUAGAGUGCAGAAGGGGCAACUGGAAUUCUCGGUGUAGCGGUGAAAUGCGUAGAUAUCGAGAGGAACACCUGCGGCGAAGGCGGGUUGCUGGGCUGACACUGACGCUGAUGCGCGAAAGCUAGGGGAGCGAACGGG